AGCAGAAAAAGGCAAACCUUUUGAAAAAGAGGGACGCAAAGCCGAGGAUCUAAGGUAGGGUUCUUCUUGAAGUGUAAGGAAAUUUAGACUUUGAGAAUUGUCCAGCGCAAGAGUCCUGCCUCUCUAGGGAAAAAAUGAACUGCUUUUUUCCUAGGUCGCUUCGGCCCAGCCGAUGAAGUCAAAGAACGACUUCACCGUCUGGACCGCAAGCAUCUGUCGGGGCUGAACAAGGCGCUUGAGCUUUUCUUACUAGGAUGGCCGGGCUGCCUGG
rnacentral:ncRNA from 1 species